GUCGAACGGCAGCACGGGCUUCGGCCUGGUGGCGAGUGGCGAACGGGUGAGUAAUACAUCGGAACGUGCCCUGUAGUGGGGGAUAACUAGUCGAAAGAUUAGCUAAUACCGCAUACGACCUGAGGGUGAAAGCGGGGGACCGCAAGGCCUCGCGCUACAGGAGCGGCCGAUGUCUGAUUAGCUAGUUGGUGGGGUAAGAGCCUACCAAGGCGACGAUCAGUAGCUGGUCUGAGAGGACGAUCAGCCACACUGGGACUGAGACACGGCCCAGACUCCUACGGGAGGCAGCAGUGGGGAAUUUUGGACAAUGGGGGCAACCCUGAUCCAGCAAUGCCGCGUGUGUGAAGAAGGCCUUCGGGUUGUAAAGCACUUUUGUCCGGAAAGAAAUGGCCUGGGAUAAUACCCCGGGUCGAUGACGGUACCGGAAGAAUAAGCACCGGCUAACUACGUGCCAGCAGCCGCGGUAAUACGUAGGGUGCGAGCGUUAAUCGGAAUUACUGGGCGUAAAGCGUGCGCAGGCGGUUUUGUAAGACAGGCGUGAAAUCCCCGAGCUUAACUUGGGAAUGGCGCUUGUGACUGCAAGGCUAGAGUAUGUCAGAGGGGGGUAGAAUUCCACGUGUAGCAGUGAAAUGCGUAGAGAUGUGGAGGAAUACCGAUGGCGAAGGCAGCCCCCUGGGACGUCACUGACGCUCAUGCACGAAAGCGUGGGGAGCAAACAGGAUUAGAUACCCUGGUAGCCCACGCCCUAAACGAUGUCAACUAGUUGUUGGGGAUUCAUUUCUUCAGUAACGUAGCUAACGCGUGAAGUUGACCGCCUGGGGAGUACGGUCGCAAGAUUAAAACUCAAAGGAAUUGACGGGGACCCGCACAAGCGGUGGAUGAUGUGGAUUAAUUCGAUGCAACGCGAAAAACCUUACCUACCCUUGA
rnacentral:rRNA from 1 species